CAGUACAGCAUGGUACUGGUAUCUUAAAAGCGACGAGAAUGUAUUACACUGUGAAAAUAUCUUUAUUGUGUAAAUGAAAACGAAUUUGAAUGAAGUAGCAAGAUUAUACACGAUUUAUAAACUCCCAAAAUUGAUCCUAACUGUUAUAUUAGCUAUAUUUGAAAUCAGAUUUCGUAUUUAGUGAGGAAUUGCAUGAAAUGAAAAAGAAGUAAUAAAAAUGGGUUUUUGGCAAAAAAUAGUAGGCACUUCUUAUAGAUUAGGCAUUACUGAUAAUUGAUACUAAUAUAAUUUCAUAAAAUGUAUGGUGGUCGAUUUAAAUUCGCAUUUAGGUUUUAAAUAUAUGCAUGUAUUUUAUUUACUUUAUUCAGAAAAUUAAUUUAUGGCAUUCAAACGACACACAUAAUUGUACUUUGUGAUUAAGUUAGCAUUGAUAUUUUUAAAAAUAACGGGGCAAUCCUCAUUUUAAUAAUUUAAUAGAAAUGUUUUAAAAUUAAUAUAUUUCCAUGAGUGUCUUUCAUCAUUGAACAUUAUUUUUAUAUAACAAAUAUAGUUUUGUAUAAAAUGUGAACUUAUAGAUUAUUAUAGAACAGUGCAUAGAAAUGUUAGAACUGUUUAUUUUCAAAGUAUGAAUGUAACAUAUAUAUAGGGGUAGAUCUUGAACUGGCAUUGGGUUAUUAUUAUUGCAAAAUUGAGCGAUAAAUAUCUUGUUUUAUGGUUGUUGUGUUUUGUUUUACAGCACGUUUACACAUCAGUUACUUCAUUAACUGUUGUUAGUAUUCAGUAGUUAAGCCCCUAAUCCUGUAAAGAGGUCUUUUCAUAUUUUUCACUGGAAAUUUUCUCGAAGCAUGCGCAUGAAG